rnacentral:lncRNA from 1 species
GGAAGUGGGUCAAAAGAAUCUAAUGCCAACCAUCAUGUGUUUUUGGUGGAUUAGAUAGAAAGAAAGAAGUCAUUGAAUGGUAAGUGUAAAACACACUUACAUUAUAGUAGUCGCCAUUGACAUUGACUCUUAGUUUACGGAAAAAUCAAAUUAGAACAUGGGAAGUUUCAUGUUUGGUUCUAGAUGUACACUCGCACUCCCACCAACCUCCAACAAAUUACUUCUAAUGACUUUAAAGUCUGAAUUCCUUUUCCUUUUUCCUUCUGUUUUUCUGCGAGGUUGCCAAGACUUUAACCUAUACGAAGGGACAAAGUCAAGUAUCA